GACGAACGCUGGCGGCGUGCCUAAUACAUGCCAGUUGAGCGAUGAAGAUUGGUGCUUGCCCCAAUUUGAAGAGCAGCGAACGGGUGAGUAACGCGUGGGGAAUCUGCCUUUGAGCGGGGGACAACAUUUGGAAACGAAUGCUAAUACCGCAUAACAACUUUAAACAUAAGUUUUAAGUUUGAAAGAUGCAAUUGCAUCACUCAAAGAUGAUCCCGCGUUGUAUUAGCUAGUUGGUGAGGUAAAGGCUCACCAAGGCGAUGAUACAUAGCCGACCUGAGAGGGUGAUCGGCCACAUUGGGACUGAGACACGGCCCAAACUCCUACGGGAGGCAGCAGUAGGGAAUCUUCGGCAAUGGACGAAAGUCUGGCCGAGCAACGCCGCGUGAGUGAAGAAGGGUUUCGGAUCGUAAAACUCUGUUGGUAGAGAAGAACGUUGGUGAGAGUGGAAAGCUCAUCAAGUGACGGUAACUACCCAGAAAGGGACGGCUAACUACGUG
rnacentral:rRNA from 1 species